CCAUAUGAGUAUUUCUUUAAAAAUAAGUUUGUCGUAACCUCUUUUUCGGCAUCUUAUUGUGCGAGCGUCAGCAAAGGCUAAUGGUUAGGCUAAGUCUAUUAGGCUCAACCCGGGCUCUCUCAAAUCUAUCAAUCCACGACUCCAUGACUUAUAGUUUGAGUUUUUAACAUGCAAGUUAAUUUUAAAUAAGAGGCUCUAUUAAUCAAUUUAGGAUGUGUCGAUUAGAAACCCAAGUCAAAUAUUCACUCCUGCAUUUUUUGGAUUUUCAAGGAUUUUUCCAUGCAUUUGUGGAGAAAAACAUAUUUUUGGCAUUUUCUAUUUUUUGAACAUGAAAAGUAUUUUUCGGAUUUUUUUGAUCUUUUUGUUUUUGAAAAUAUAAAUCACUUUUUGACUUUUUAUGAUUUUUUGGGAAAACAUAGAAUAAUUUUGGGUUUUUCUGAUUUCUGAAAAAUAAAUUAUUUUUUAUUAUAAUAAUAUAAUAUUAAAAACGACCCGGGUCGGGUUCCCGGGUUGGGACCGACCCGGUUCGCUGACCAUUGGCCCGUAGGGCCGACCAUCGGCCCAAAUGGGCCUGAGGCGCGGAAUUCUUUUUUUUUUCUUUUAAACAAUCUAAGCCCACAAAUAAAUAAAUAAAAAACAGGCCCACCUAUCCCUAAGCCCGCGCAAAAUUAGCCCCCGCGCAAUCGGACUCGGCUAGCCCGAAUCCUCCAGAACCCUACCCGGCUAUGGUUCGUGCUCGACCCGGCUCUGACCCGACUCGAGGUCACCUCCUUCCCCGUCUCUCUGCGGUACCGAUGGGGGUGGCAGGGACAUCACCGGGCGGCAGUUCGGCGUUCACGACUGCGGCGACGCAGCAGACGGCAGCAGCAAGCUGUUCAAUGGGGUCGGCGUCGCGGCACGACAGCAGCAAACAGGGGGCUGCUCAGCUGGUCGGGACCGAGACAGGAGGCGGCGGCUAGGCCUUUGGGGGGCAACAUCGAUGGAGGCGAGCAUCGGCAGGGAUGACGGCGUCGGGGGACGGAGGCACGGCUCGAGGGAUCAACGGCUCGGCACAGGGACGGUGUUGGGAGAUGAUGACGAGGUGGGCAGCGAGCGUCGGGCUGGCGAGCUCGGCACGGCGGGGCUCGCGGCUGGUCAUCGGGGCGGCAGCAGGUGACGCCGCAGCAGACGGUGAUCAGAGCAGCAAGCUCGGUCGUUGUUGGCUCGGGUGAUGGAUCACGGACCCUCCUCCCUAAGAUCUGGCCCCCAGGACCUCCGCUCUCCCUAGAUCUCGCACCAGAACCGCCUCUCCUUCUCCGGCCGACCUCCCCUCCUUAGAUCUCCGGCCUGCUCGCUCUCGGACCUCCCCUGAUGUCUCUCAAGGGAAGCUCUCGGAGCUUGCUGCCUUGGAUCUCUCCUCUCCGUCCCUCUUUGGCCUCAAUCGGAAGCCCUAUUUAUAGGCCAAGCGGGUCCGGUCGACGGAGGCUUCGCCCGCCGGUCUUGGCAUGCCGAUCGGCCUUGGCGCGGCCGGACCGUCGUCUCCUCAGCCGCCCACUUGCUCCGCUUUGAAGGCGCGUCCCAUCCGUUGCCAGUCUACCCUUCCUCUCUCCGCCGUAGGCCGUCCUUGCGCGCGUCGUCGUUGCUGCGCGUGAGGUGCAGAGGCGGAAGAGGAAGGCGGAAGGAAGAAGAGGAAAGGAGGAGGCGGAGGGGCCGGGCUUGGAAAAAGAGGUUGGCCCUUGUUGGGGCAAGAGAGAACAAGGGCUUUUUUUUUUUUUUUUGUGCUCGAAAGGGUGAAAAAGGG
rnacentral:lncRNA from 1 species